GGCUACGUCCCGCCCCUUGACGUUUUUAAAGUUAAUUUUUGAUUUAUUUAUGGACACAAAAAGCGCACAUUGAUUUAUUAAAUUGUUUUAUACUUCAGACUACAUGUAUAUGCUUGAAUAUUCUGUGUGUAUACUUCCAAUUCCUUUAAUUAUAAAAUAGUUACAUGCUAGUAUUUCCAUAUAUGCCAAAAGAUUACAAUUGUUUUAUACUUUAGAUUACAUGUAUAUGCUUGAAUAUUCUCUGUGGAUAUUUACCAUUCUUAUGAUUAUCAGUAUCGCGUAAUUUUAUUAUUAUUUUCAUGAUUACAUUAUUGCAUGCAAUAAUUUGCAUAUGUCAAAUGAUUACUAAUAUUUUAUAAUUCAGGACAGCAUGUAUAUGCUUGAAUAUUCUUUGUAUACUAAUAAGCAUCAGUUAACCUUACUGUUACUAUCAUGGCGACAUAAUAACAUAGUGGCAUACUAUAAUUUCAUGUAUGUUAAUGACUACAAUUGUUUAAUAUACUUUGUUAUAUUUAUAGCGGAGACAACUACAGUUGCUGACAAUGCAGGCUCUACAACGAUUGUAUCGACGACUGCAUGUGUACUUGCGGGUUUCACGUAUCUAAUGACGGUGUAAACAACGGUUCACAACCACGACGUUGGAUUUCUUCUACUGAACUCUCUUCUUGUUAUUCUGUUUGAAGCUCAUUUACCCUGACUGUGAUUUAUUAACACUAUCUCUUGAUAGCAAAGCGAAUUGCUGUGAUGUUUUACAGAUGAUGACAAAAGAACCUGAAGAACAUUUUUAAAUCGUACGAAAUUCAAGUGUUGCCGAUAGCGUGUGACCACCGUAUCUCCACUCCCUCAGGGGCGUAGCACGGUUGGACCUAGGGGUGGUGCGUGCGUAUGCGCGCGCGCGCGCGUGUGUGUGUGUUUGUGUGCGUGUGCGUGUGUGCGUGUGCGUGUGUAUGUUUGAAUGUGAAUCUAGCGCCACUUUUGUCUACAUCGCCCCUGGUCACCGAUAUGAAUUGCCUAAUAUUGCACUGUAAAAUUUGUUUUAGCCUUAGUAUACGCCAUUCUCUCCCCCUCAUAAUAAACAGCACUGGUGUAGGAAAAACGGGGUGGGGGUGGGCAAGGGAGGCACGUGUCCCCGAAUUUGUAGCAGCAGCGAUGGUUUUAUAUAUAUAUAUAUAUAUAUAUAUAUAUAUAUAUAUAUAUAUAUAUAUAUAUAUAUAUAUAUAUAUAUAUUAUAUAUGUGUGUGUGUGUGUGUGUGUGUGUGUGUGUGUGUGUGUGUGUGUGCCCCCUCUUUUUGGAAUCUUCCUACUCCCGUAGACAGUAUUAUUAAACUUUGUCAGGGGCCUAAAAUCAUCAUCUAUGCAACAGUCCAGUCACUUCCGUCCAACCGUCUGUAGGGUUACCAUUUAAAAUAAAACAGUUUGUUAACCCGU